rnacentral:lncRNA from 1 species
CUGUGAGUAGUUGCUCCCUCUGUCUGUGGAGUGGAGAGCUCUCUCAUAGGAACCCUGUCUUGCCGGCCAUCUUUUGAUUUUUGGCUCUGGAAUUCUACUCGCUCUGAUUGUGGAAUGUUUGCCGGGUGGGGGUGGGGUGAUGUGGGAAUGGCCACAGGGCACUCCUUUAGGAGCCAUAUAGGGACCUGGGGUGUCGGGAGGAGAUGGAUGGCAGGAGACCUGGGGUAUCUGUGUCUCUCUGGUUGUUGCAUGCAGAGUAGUCAGCCAUGGUACCCAUGGUCUCUCAUGGCUGGGGGUUUGCCUUCUCUCCUAACCGUGGUUCCUAACCCAAGGGUUCAGGUUUAGAUUCUGGCUGCUGCAAAGCCUGGGGGAAACAGAGGUGCCAGUUAAAACUCAAGGCUAGCCAAACUUGGUGGCAUGCAUCUUUUGUCCCAGGUCUGGGGAGGCAGAGGCAAGCAAAUCUCUGUGAGUUCCGGGCCAGCCUAGGCUACCUGGUGAAUCGCUGUCCCAAAAAAAA